rnacentral:rRNA from 1 species
GUAGAGACCGGCGCACGGGUGCGUAACGCGUAUGCAAUCUACCUUUUACAGAGGGAUAGCCCAGAGAAAUUUGGAUUAAUACCUCAUAGUAUAUAGACUCGGCAUCGAGAUUAUAUUAAAGUCACAACGGUAAAAGAUGAGCAUGCGUCCCAUUAGCUAGUUGGUAAGGUAACGGCUUACCAAGGCUACGAUGGGUAGGGGUCCUGAGAGGGAGAUCCCCCACACUGGUACUGAGACACGGACCAGACUCCUACGGGAGGCAGCAGUGAGGAAUAUUGGACAAUGGGCGCAAGCCUGAUCCAGCCAUGCCGCGUGCAGGAUGACGGUCCUAUGGAUUGUAAACUGCUUUUAUACGAGAAGAAACACUGCUACGUGUAGCAGCUUGACGGUAUCGUAAGAAUAAGGAUCGGCUAACUCCGUGCCAGCAGCCGCGGUAAUACGGAGGAUCCAAGCGUUAUCCGGAAUCAUUGGGUUUAA